rnacentral:rRNA from 1 species
UUAGAGUUUGAUCAUGGCUCAGAACGAACGCUGGCGGCGUGCUUAAUAUAUGCAAGUCGAGUGCGCGGUUGUAGCAAUACAACUGGCGCACGGCGCACGGGUGCGUAACACGUGGGUAACCUGCCCUUUGGUGGGGAAUAACUCCGCGAAAGCGGAGCUUAUUCCGCAUAAGAUCCGCAAGGAUGAAAGCCGCAAGGCGCCGAUGGAGGGGCCCGCGCCCGAUUAGCUUGUUGGUAGGGUAAUGGCCUACCAAGGCUUUGAUCGGUAGCUGGUCUGAGAGGAUGAUCAGCCACACUGGAACUGAGACACGGUCCAGACUCCUACGGGAGGCAGCAGUGGGGAAUCUUGCACAAUGGGCGAAAGCCUGACGCAGCGACGCCGCGUGGGGGAUGAAGCAUUUCGGUGUGUAAACCCCUUUCGAUCCGGACGAAACCCCGCAAGGGAUUGACGGUACGGAUAUAAGAAGCCCCGGCUAACUACGUGCCAGCAGCCGCGGUAAGACGUAGGGGGCCAGCGUUGUUCGGAAUUACUGGGUGUAAAGGGUUCGUAGGCGGUGCGGCAAGUUGGGAGUGAAAUCUCUGGGCUUAACCCAGAGGCUGCUUCCAAAACUGCUGUGCUUGAGUGUGGGAGAGGCGCGUGGAAUUGCAGGUGUAGCGGUGAAAUGCGUAGAUAUCUGCAGGAACACCCGUGGCGAAAGCGGCGCGCUGGACCACUACUGACGCUGAGGAACGAAAGCUUGGGGAGCAAACAGGAUUAGAUACCCUGGUAGUCCUAGCCCUAAACGAUCAGGACUUGGGGUGCCACCCGUUCGGGUGUCGUCCCGGAGCUUAC